GGGGAAUCUUGCGCAAUGGGCGAAAGCCUGACGCAGCAAUGCCGCGUGAGGGAAGAAGGUCUUAGGAUUGUAAACCUCUUUCAGCAGGGACGAAAACAGACGGUACCUGCAGAAGAAGCCCCGGCUAACUACGUGCUAGCAGCCGCGGUAAUACGUAGGGGGCGAGCGUUGUCCGGAAUCAUUGGGCGUAAAGAGCGUGUAGGUGGACUGGAAGGUCUGGUGUGAAAGCCCGGGGCUCAACCCCGGAGGGUCACUGGAAACCAACAGUCUUGAGUCCGGAAGAGGAGAGUGGAAUUCCUAGUGUAGCGGUGGAAUGCGCAGAUAUUAGGAGGAACACCAAUGGCGAAGGCAGCUCUCUGGUACGUGACUGACACUGAGACGCGAAAGCGUGGGGAGCGAAC
rnacentral:rRNA from 1 species